UACGUAGGGGGCAAGCGUUGUCCGGAUUUAUUGGGCGUAAAGAGCGUGUAGGCGGUUAGGUAGGUCCGUUGUGAAAACUCGAGGCUCAACCUCGAGACGCCGAUGGAAACCAUCUAACUAGAGUCCGGAAGAGGAGAGUGGAAUUCCUGGUGUAGCGGUGAAAUGACGCAGAUAUCAGGAGGAACACCAAUGGCGAAGGCAGCUCGCUGGGACGGUACUGACGCUGAGACGCGAAAGCGUGGGGAAGCAAACAGG
rnacentral:rRNA from 1 species